AACGAACGCUGGCGGCAUGCCUAACACAUGCAAGUCGAACGAGACCUUCGGGUCUAGUGGCGCACGGGUGCGUAACGCGUGGGAACCUGCCCUUAGGUUCGGAAUAACUCCCCGAAAGGGGUGCUAAUACCGGAUAAUGUCUUCGGACCAAAGAUUUAUCGCCUUGGGAUGGGCCCGCGUUGGAUUAGCUAGUUGGUAGGGUAAUAGCCUACCAAGGCGACGAUCCAUAGCUGGUCUGAGAGGAUGAUCAGCCACACUGGGACUGAGACACGGCCCAGACUCCUACGGGAGGCAGCAGUGGGGAAUAUUGGACAAGGGGCGAAAGUCUGAUCCAGCAAUGCCGCGUGAGUGAUGAAGGCCUUAGGGUUGUAAAGCUCUUUUACCCGGGAUGAUAAUGACAGUACCGGGAGAAUAAGCUCCGGCUAACUCCGUG
rnacentral:rRNA from 1 species